rnacentral:sRNA from 1 species
GAGACAAAAUUGACUUUUGUGAGACAAAAUUGACUUUUGUGAGACAAAAUUUACAAAAUAGAAUUUUGUCUCACAAAAUUGAGUUUUGUCUCACAAAAUUG